CCCUCCGAAAUCCCCAACUUUUCCCCUAAAACCCCUAAUUUCCCAGAUCCAAGAAAAAAAACCCAAAAGUUUAUUCAACUCUAUUUCUUCCCAACUGAAGCUCUUAAAACUCUCAAAUGGAUAAAAGGGGUCCAAAAUGAAAGAACCCAGAACUAGGAAACCAAGCCAGUUUUGAUCGUUUUGUGUGUUUUGAUUUGCUAGUUUCUCCCUGCUGUAUGAUUCAAAUAUUUGUCCUUUGGAUUUUGUGUUGAUUGACUAGGUUUCUACUUUUCUCCUUAAAAUCGGUAUCCUCAAAACACCUAAUUCUUACUGAGCAACCCCUAAAAUCAGUUCUUAAAUUUCAUCGCCUCUUUCUUCUUCUUCUUCUUCUUAUAUCUUUCUUUCCUUCUUGUUUAUAUAUAGAGAGCUGAAGCCAGUUCUGGGUGGCUUCUUCACUCUCUUUUCAAUGCCCCAAGAUCUUUUUUUUUUUUUUUUGUAAACAAACCAGCAAACCCAAACUCACAAGGGUUUUUUGUCUUUUCCUCCAACUUCAAAUUUCAACUCCAAAUAUUGCAGGCGUUCUGUGAUGCUUGUUCUUUGGUUUCUGUUCUUUUUAACUCCCUCGGUCUCGCCUUCAAAUUCGCGGAGAUGGAGUACGUUGCCAAGGCCAUUACUGCUCUGAAGAAAGGGGCAUACCUGCUGAAGUACGGAAGAAGAGGAAAACCAAAAUUUUGCCCCUUCCGCCUUUCAAAUAAAACCAACUUCCCUUCUUUCCCAUACUGCCAGAAAAUUUAGGGACUGCAUGACUUGUGGUUGAUUUCGAUAGGUGGUGGACUGGUGAGGAAUCUGUGAAUGUUCUCUUAGAAGCUGCAGGCCAAGGUCCAAUCUACAUCUGAUGGAGCUGAUUCCACUCUUUCAAACCCCCUGUGCGAGGAGUCUGCUCAAAAUUCUUCAAAAUACUCUAACAGACAGAGCAUACAUCCACCACCUGCCUUUGGCUCAUCGCCUAAUCUUGAAUCCCUUGCACUUGAAGCAAAUAAGUCUAAGGAUCAAGAUGGAGAUAGUUCUUUACUUGACAGUUCACAUCUUUCCCGGUAUUUAACUAUUUAUUUAUGCCUUAACAUGUCCUUAGGUGAGCGCUGAUUGUUUAUACAAAAAUUUUGGUUAAGUUAGUGGUAGUUUGGUUUUUUUGGACUUGAUCAUCAUAUACUUUUUGAAUAUUAUGUAUUGGAUCUUUAAAUUAUUUAGGAGUGCAUUAACUGAUAAGGUCCUGUCAAAGUUCAACUUUCUUACCUCAGAGCAAUGCUUCACCACCAUCUUUAGUUGACUUCAGUUUUAGGCCCAUGCAUGAAGUUACAUUUUCAACAGAAGACAAACCAAAACUUCUUAGUCAGGUUUGAUUGUGGCAUGUUUAUGUAUUCUAUAUAUCAACUUCUAUAGCAGAGGCUUAAGUCUUUGUUUUGAGCAGGAACGCAUGCCCUAUUUUCGUUUAAGGGACCGCCAAGGAAAUUCUGAAACUGAAAGCUGAUUGAUCGGAUGUGUAUGCCGGCUUUCAUCAACUACAUUCGAAGGCCUUAAUAGGAAUUGAAAUGGUGUGCAAAGAGAUUGCUUCUUUUGAUCUGAUUUUUCGAUAUAAAUACUGGACAAAGUAUGGAUAUUUUACUGCUGUUAGUAAAAUAGGAUUCUCUUCUUAGAAUAUUAGUUUCUUCACUUGUAUUAGACUCAACAAUGGCUUGCAUUGCAUUGGUGUUGAUUUUACCAAAAAUUCGAGGUUUACAAUUAACUAUUUUUAUUAAUUA